CUUUACCACUGUAACGCUGACAGGGUUUUAAACAGUUUGUUUGUUUAUUUUGCGAGGAUUUAUUCUCGGAUCUAGGAAUAUAUUCCAGUCCAGAUAUGACUUUGUGAUAACCGUGACAGGGAGUUUCCAAUUGUGGCGAUGGCGUAGUGGUGUACAUGCCCGGCGCAUAAAUGUUUUAUAUAUGGCUGAUCAGUUCCGGCUGGUGGUUCGACCCCUAAACGAGGAUGCCUGGAUCGGGUCCAAAGUUUUAUGCCUGUGCAGUGUGCAAGAAAAGAACUAAACCAAAAGAAAGAAGACACAUAAGCAGACCUAUAAGAAAAUAUCUUCAAAAACGGUUAUUUGUUGAUGUUAAAGACAAUGAAAUAAUUUGUAACAAAUGUAGACAUAAAUACUAUGCAUUAGAAUCAUCAUCUUUUACAAGAAAAGA